rnacentral:rRNA from 1 species
GAUGAACGCUAGCUACAGGCUCUUAAAGGCAAGUCGAGGGGCAGCAUGACAAUAGCUUGCUAUCGUUGAUGGCGACCGGCGCACGGGUGAGUAACCCUUAUCAAACCUGCCCUUGUCCAUCGAAUAACCCGUCAAAAGGCGGCCUAACACGAUAUGCAUUUCUCAGCAGGCAUCUAACGAAAACAAAAUGUAAAGGAAAAGGAUGGGGAUGCGUCUGAUUAGCUUGUUGGCGGGGUAACGGCCCACCAAGGCGACAAUCAGUAGGGGUUCUGAAAGGAAGGUCCCCCACAUUGAAACUGAAACACGGUCCAAACUCCUACGGGAGGCAGCAGUGAGGAAUAUUGGUCAAUGGGCGAGAGCCUGAACCACCCAAGUAGCGUGCAGGACGACGGCCCUAUGGGUUGUAAACUGCUUUUAUGCGGGGAUAAAGUGAGCCACGUGUGGUUUAUUGCAGGUACCGCAUGAAUAAGGACCGGCUAAUUCCGUG